GUGCCAGCAGCCGCGGUAAUACGGAGGGUGCAAGCGUUAUCCGGAUUUACUGGGUUUAAAGGGAGCGCAGGCGGGCUGAUAAGUCAGUGGUGAAAUCCCCGAGCUUAACUUGGGAACUGCCAUUGAUACUAUUGGUCUUGAAUGUUGUGGAGGUAAGCGGAAUAUGUCAUGUAGCGGUGAAAUGCAUAGAUAUGACAUAGAACACCUAUUGCGAAGGCAGCUUACUACGCAAAUAUUGACGCUGAGGCUCGAAAGCGUGGGGAUCAAACAGGAUUAGAUACCCUGGUAGUCC
rnacentral:rRNA from 1 species